rnacentral:sRNA from 1 species
CCAACAAAAACGAUCCUCAAGGACUCUUAUGUAAGCUUACAGCUUCACAGGGCCUUAGACAGUUAGGUCCUCAAGGAUUACUAGCUCUUUAACAUUCUUCUGCUCUGUGCUUCACUGUGGGGCAGCUUCUGAUAUUCUUUCAUCUUGAUCUCUCUUCUAUAAGAACUCUCUUUGUACAAUCUUUUCUUCUGAUCUCUUUUCUCUUUCUUUCUUUAAUCAAUUCAUAAUCUGUAUUUAGAAUAGUGCUAGAUUGUUAAUCGAAGUACAUCUGUUACAAGAAUAGUGCUAGAUUGUUAAUCAAAGUUUGCCCGUUACAGUGGAAGAACAUUAAGAGUUAUGUGGAAGAAUUGUUAGAACUAUAUGAGUGUGAAGUGUGAGGUGGAAGAGCAUCAAGGGUUAUGUGGAAGAAUUGUUAGAGACUACACAAGCACGGAGCGUGG